AAUGCAACACGUGUUGCAGAGGACUCUUUCACUGCCCUCUGUGCCCCACUUUCAGCCCUACUGUCAGGGCAAAGAUUGAGGAGCAUCUAAGUGUGCAUAUAAAAUAAUGCUUUGCCUUUCAAAGAUAAAAUGAUAUGCCGGUGCAGGCUGCCUUGUAGGACAAAGGGACACUUUCACUGCCCCUGAUUGCUUUAAAAAUGUGUUUGUGUCAUUAUGAUAUUUUGGUGCCCAAAUUUAAAUAGUUGUGUAAUCAUAGUCUUCUUCACCCUAUUGUCAUAUUACAGAACCAUGUAUCUGCUUCAAGGGUCAUUGACUCAUUGGAGGGCUUAAGAAGAGUGAAGUUUCCUUCUCGGGAUACCAUUUUUCAUGCUUAUUGCCAUUUUGAGGCUUUGACUGACGCAGAAUACAUGUACUCCUGCAUAAACUGAGGGUUUCACCCCCCUGUGGUAGUUAUGGACUUACACAGAAAAGGGGUGUUCAAGUUAGCAGUGAGUGACCUCAAAGCCCCGGAAGACUUCAAUGGUGAACAUGACAUUGAAGGUUUUUGGAAAUCUAUUCACCUGGAAAUGAUAAGCCGUGGGUUUUUUCCAAGCGGUGUGAAGAAUCCAUUUUCCGUUCCACCAAGUUACACGCACUGGGCACCAUGGAUCGGGAGUGAAACUCGAACUAGUGACAUUGUGCUUAACACAGAGUUUAAAAAAGUAGGAACAAGCUCUUCACAUGAAGCAAAGCUUAGCAGUGUCACAGAAGACCGUCUGUUGGAUGAACUUGCCAAACAAAAGGUAACAUUGCUUUGAAGUUUUCAGAAUAUGUGACAUAAAGUUCUGGGGUUGUUC